GCGCCUGCCUGUUCGUCCGGACCGUCGUAGUUCAGGUUCGAUAACAGGUGCAGCUGAUUCCGGCAUGGAUGGAGAAGAGAACGGUACAAUUGACGGAGUGUUCCCUGGAACAGACUUCCCAGCCUCCGACUCGACUGCAGGAAUAAAAUAUAUGGGCCAUGGUGUGCCAGGCAAAUGUUUCUGAAGAAGCCCAAUGAAAAACAAGAGAAAGGAGGAAAGAAAAUGCUCAGAAAAAGCUUGGUGCCAUAACCAAUGACAACAGUGGCAGCCUUUCUGGACCCAGCUUCUCCCCUGCCACAUAUUUGCUCCCGUUCUUUUGGAGAGUUAUUCUGCUGACAGAAUGAUAGACAGAUGGAGUUCUAAACCUUUUACAGAAUUUCUUUCCAACAUUCCUUUGGGUAAAGGAUAAAAAUGAGAUUCAAACAGCAUCUAACCCCCGAGUCUGCUGGCGUACAAAAUUCCAACUAUACAGCCUCUUCCCAUUUUAAAUACAUGUUGUAUUUGUCUGGCCAUUUGCAAUAAAUAAAUAAGCAGCUGCUGAUGUAAAAGC